AGGAAGCAUAGUGUAUUCUGGCUGUACCACACGACGUACACUAGCACACUCCCCAAGCAGUAACCAAGUCUCCAGUUUAGGACAGCGGGUGAAAGCUUCCCCUGAAGUCAGCAGCAACACAGAUGGUGAGAGUUGCAUCUGUCGUCAACACGAUGAUGGUGUUUUCGUGCACAAACAGUUGAGAUGAUCUACCUUGCAACUUCAGGGGUGGUAAUAUCAUCUCACCUGCAAAACAUAAUGAUUUGAGUCUUACAUGUUGAACCAAUGACUCCAGGUCUAAAGGCAACUGCAACUAUGUCAGCUUUACUGUCUUUACCUACAUACACAUACAGUAUGAACACUAAACACUAGCAUGUAAACAAUCUAUUAGCACUUUCGUUAAGUAAGGAAUGAAUAUAGGUCUCUAACUUCUUAACACAGAGGUUGCUAUACACCUAAAUGAUUAACAUUCAGUCCAAAAUCUCAAAAUCAUGACAUGGCAUCUGCUUAAUUCAAUUUAAGUUUGGAUGCCAUCCCCUUCAAAACAUGAAUCAGUAUGUAUUGCAGUGUUUAACAUCUUUUGAGAACAACAAGACUUUCAGAGCAUACUUCAGCAGUGCCAACAUAGUGGAACACUGUCAAUGCUCAAGGAGACAUUUGUUGGGAAUAAAUUUCAAGC